rnacentral:rRNA from 1 species
UACGAAGGGGGCUAGCGUUGCUCGGAAUGACUGGGCGUAAAGGGCGCGUAGGCGGAUGGCACAGUCAGAUGUGAAAUUCCCGGGCUUAACCUGGGGGCUGCAUUUGAUACGUGUUGUCUUGAGUUCGGAAGAGGGUCGUGGAAUUCCCAGUGUAGAGGUGAAAUUCGUAGAUAUUGGGAAGAACACCGAUGGCGAAGGCGGCGACCUGGUCCGACACUGACGCUGAGGCGCGAAAGCGUGGGGAGCAAACAGG